AGGAUAUUAGUUAAAUUCUAUAACAUUUAUAUUGCAAAUAAAAAUUAUUUUUUUUUAAAAUAUAUCUUU
rnacentral:tRNA from 1 species